rnacentral:rRNA from 1 species
AUUGAACGCUGGCGGCAUGCCUUACACAUGCAAGUCGAACGGUAACAGGUCUUCGGAUGCUGACGAGUGGCGAACGGGUGAGUAAUACAUCGGAACGUGCCCGAUCGUGGGGGAUAACGAAGCGAAAGCUUUGCUAAUACCGCAUACGAUCUACGGAUGAAAGCAGGGGACCGCAAGGCCUUGCGCGAACGGAGCGGCCGAUGGCAGAUUAGGUAGUUGGUGGGAUAAAAGCUUACCAAGCCGACGAUCUGUAGCUGGUCUGAGAGGACGACCAGCCACACUGGGACUGAGACACGGCCCAGACUCCUACGGGAGGCAGCAGUGGGGAAUUUUGGACAAUGGGCGAAAGCCUGGUCCAGCCAUGCCGCGUGCAGGAUGAAGGCCUUCGGGUUGUAAACUGCUUUUGUACGGAACGAAAAGACUCUGGUUAAUACCUGGGGUCCAUGACGGUACCGUAAGAAUAAGCACCGGCUAACUACGUGCCAGCAGCCGCAGUAACAC